UGACUCUGAUAAUGUUGGCUGACUGUCCUA
rnacentral:sRNA from 1 species